CUUAACAUUGGGUGCCUUAAGAAUUCUCACUUUAUGAUUUUGAGAGAAGGUCAAAUACUCAAUCUCUUCAGCCAUUCAAUAGCUGAAUCUAGCAGUGCCUGUCAAUUUCUUCUUUCAGAAGAAUCUGAGAAAAUCAUCCAUGUAAUAUUGAUAAUGAAAAAAACCAUGAUAAAUCACCUACUGCACACCCACCCUCUAACCCAGUUAUCUUUGAAAGCAAAGCACCCUACAGUCUAUAGAGAUCAGAGGAUGUAGAAUGAGAAAACCACCUCAUCGAAAAGGGUCUUUGGGUUGUCUUCUACCAGGAAGAGUUUUUAAAUAGGAGUAGCCAGCUACUAGACAGCACCUACUACACGGCAUCUUAGGUGCUCAACACCUAUUCUGUUGAGUAGAAAAUACUAUCACCACCACCAUUCUAGAAGUCUUUUCUUUUAUUGUCCCACCAAUGCGAAGAUACUUCAAACUUUUUUUUUUUGAGAGCCAUGGCAAUCUUUUUACACUUGAUUUUAGCCAAAAGGCCAAGAAGCAAUGAAAGCCAUGAUAAUCUUUUUAUGCAAUGUUAUCAGGUAAAAAAUGGCUAAAGUAUAUUAGCAUUUACCCGAGUGGUAUUCUUUUAUAGAACUCAGCUACUAAAACCAGGGAGAGUACAAAAACAGCUGUUCAGCUGACCUCCAAACCCUGAAGUUCUUAA
rnacentral:lncRNA from 1 species